GUGACAGAGUGAGACUCCAUCUCAAACAAACAAACCACAGAAAUCUGGCUGGGUUCAGUGGUUCACACCUGUAAUCCCAGCACUUUGGGAGGCUGAGGCAGGAGAUCACUUGAGUCUAAUUCUAGGCCAGCCUGGGCAACACGGACCCCAUCUCUACAAAAAGAAAAUAUAUAUAUAUAUAUUUAUAUAUUAUAUAUUUUUAAUUAGCAGGACGUGGUGGUAUGCGCCUGUAGUCCCAGCUACUUGGGAGGCUUAGGUGGGAGAAUCGCUUGAAGCCAGGAGGUGGCGGCUACAGUGAGCUGUGAUUGCACCACUGCACUCCAGCGUGGACGACACAACAAGAUCUUGUCUGAGUAAAUAAAUAAAAUAAAAAAAAAUUCUGAUAUUACCACUCCCUUGCUUAAAAACCCUCCACUGUCCUGGAAUGAAAUCCAAACCCUUCACCAGGCCCCAUGGCCCCUGCCCACUCUGGGCCCUCAUCUUGUGCUGCCAGCGCCCCCUCCCCCACCAACCUCCUCACACAACUCCUCAGUUUCUACAAGUUUCUUCUUCCCCCAAGACCUUUGUAGCUGCUGUUGUCUCUAUCUGGAACAUUUUUUCCUCCUCUCUACUCUUCCCAUGGUCAGCUCCAACUUCAGAUCUCAGCCUACCAGCUCCUCAAAUGUCCCAGGAACCCUAAGCAGUCCCCCAAAUUCUCUGUUACAGCAUCCUGUUUGUUUUCCUUUACAGUACUUGUUGCAGACUGUUUUGUUUCCAUGUCUUUAUCAUCACUGUCUCUGUCCCUCUCCAGAAUCCACAGCUUUACUGGGGCUGGGACCUUGUCUGGCCUGUCCAACAGAGACUCUCCAUCACCCGGCACAGAGUAGGUGCUCAACAAACGGUUGUUAAAAUCAAAGGGGGGACAAGUAGAGGGGAAGUGCCUUCAAGUUCUCAAGAACUCUCCUGCAUCUAACUUCAUAAUGCCUACAGAAACAGGGAACACAUCUAAAGGUCACAGGCCCUGGGGAGGCAGGGUGCAUGGGAAAGCUCUGAAUUCUGGAGACUUCUGCCUCACUCCCACUGGGUGGAGGAGUUUCCAUUACCCAUCCCAGAGAGAGAGGGGACUCUGAGGCUGCUUCACUUACUGCUGGGUUGCAGCUGGGCUUUUUCUAGAACAGGACACUUGGUUACACUACGUUACCAGGUGUCGAUUGCCAGAGGAAAAGACUUUUGAAAAAGAAGUUCAGUUCACAGAACAUCUCCCCGGGGCAUGUGGGUGGUGUAAGGGAUUCACCCGGCUGGUGUACGGGAUUUGUCAGUUCUUUUAUACCAUCUCUUUUAAGCUUCUCACCCUUCCCUCAGAAGCAGGUAUCACUGGUUCCUUUUACAGAGAAUGAAACUGAGGCUUGGGGAAGUUAACUCGCCCAGGUGUGGUUAAGCGAUGGCUCCUCCUCCUUCUGUCUCAUUUCAGAGAUUUCCCCCUUCUGGCAAGCUCUCCUGACCACCCUCCAGGGACCCCAGACAGCAUUUGGUCCCUGGCUCUGUGUCCCCACACAGCCACCCUACCCCAUGCUGCCUUUUACUGAGGCACACAGCAUUUUAGACAGGAGAACCCUGAUGGCAGAGGCUGGGUCUCACGGGACCCUGUCUCCUUAAGGGCUUAGUCUGGGGCUGGAGCCUCUACAGAUGUUUGAGCAAAGGCGGGAGGCAAGGGAGGGAGGCCGGAAGCCACCCCAGGGACUCUGAUGUCCACCCUGCGGCAGCCUGUCUGUGGACAGAUGAUGCAGGAAGCUCACGGAACUCCCAAGCAGAAAUCAGCAGAGAUGGAGCCUGGUUAUUUUUCAGCACACAAAAGCCGAGGGCCCCUUCCUGAGAUGCCUGCCUCAGCCCGGUAGUGAAACUGAACCCACCUCAGACGGGAAAGGCUUGGCGGGCUCUGCUUGGUGGGAAGUCCACAGUGGUGCCUCGUCCCUGAGAUGAGAAUCAUCACCUCCGCUUUACAAAUGAGAUGACCAAGGGUCAGAGAGGAGAAAGGACCUCCCCCCAGCCCUGAGUCACCUGCCUGGAGACUGAGGGAGCCAUAAUGCGAAUCUUCCCCUUGCCAAACCCACUGACUCCAUUACGCUGCCUCCAGAGAACCCGAGCCCCGCGGCGAGAAAGUGGUAGAGCUGGGCCUCGAACCUGGGUCCUGGACUCUUGGUCCUGUGCUCCUUGUGGAAGAUGGAACUGCUUCUUCAGGCAGCUCUCUCGGGCUUCGCAGUGACCCUUCCUCGGUGCUCCGCGGCAGCAUGCUUCUGGCAUCUCAUCCCAACACAGUGAAGAGCAGCCAAGUGCGGCUGUGUGGCCCUGACCAAGUCAUUUCACUUCAAUUUUAUGCUUUGGCUUUCACAUCUUUCCACGGACGUGAAUGGAGAUGAUCAUGGUGCCGACCCCAAAGGAUCCUUACACGUCUUAAAAAAGUGAGCCACGGAAAGGCCUCAGCCCAGUGCCUAGCAGAGAAGCAGCACAUGGGAGGGAAGGAACGACCAGAGAAGACCCGUGGUGUGCCAGGCACUAGACCUGGGGCUCGGUGGCACAUGUCAGCUCCUUGCAAGUGUGAAACAACUGGAGUGCAGCGAGCAUCAGUAACUCACCCUAAGUCACACAUCUGGUAAACAGCAAAGCCUGGAUUUGAACCCAGGUUUUCCCAUGACAUCAGAUAAGACGGCAAUCACCACCUCCUUCUAACCCACCCUGCCUCACCUGCUCCAUCCUUACGACUUCAGGUGUCACCUCCCAGCUGGGUUUAAGGGGCUGAGUUGUCCACUCUGAUCUUCUCCAAGCACAAACUGCAAAGCAGACCAGAAAGCAGCUGGUCCUGACUCCAGGGCUACCCACAGAUGCCCCUGCACCUCCUCAUGCUCCUGUGCUCCUGUGUGAUGUCCUGGACUGUGUGAUGACCAGGCUGGGGAAGUCCCAAUCUGAAGAGACCAAGCGCUCUCUGACAAUGUGCUGAUCUAAUCACGUACAACUUAAGACAAAGUUAACCCGUCUCAUUGAAUGAUAUGGUAUAAUGGUGAUGACUGAGCUGCCCAGUAAUUGUGCUCAACCAGGAAGCAGCUCAUGGAGUCAGUUGUAAUUAGUAUUUGUGUUACACAGGUGAGUGGGUGGGUGAGGGCUGGGCAGAGGGAGGAGGAAGUGGGUGGGGCAGGAAGCUCUGGGGACUCCUUGGAUCCAUGAACCCCAUGCCAGCCAACUCAUGUGGUUGAUCCUGUCUAACCUUCAUGAUGACCUCAUGAUGUACUGUUAUCUCUCUUCUAAGGUGAGAAAACAGGCUCAGAGAAGUCCAUUCACUUGUCCAAGAUCAGACAGCUAGAAAAUGACAGAGCCAGGGUUCCCUCUUCAGCCCAGGCGAUGUCUUGGACAGCAGAAGGAACAGGAAUAGGGCUGGGAGGCUGGAGAUCCACAUCUCGGUCCCAGUUCUAACACUGCCUUACCCUGGGCCUCAGCAAGUAGCAUCCCUCUUCAGGAUACAAAGAGAUAGUAUGUCUGUCAGGUUGCAGACGGCUGAGGGUGUGGACUUGGGAGCUAGGCUCCUUGGAUUCUAAUCCUUGGGCAAGCUACUUCACCAUCUGAGCCUCAGUGUCCUCAUCUGUAAAAUGGAGAUGACAACAGUGUCUCCCUCAUAGGCUUGUGAAGAUAAAACGAGUAACAAGACUUAGAACAAUGCCUGAAUAUUAUUGUCAUUUAUGGGGAAAAAAUGAGCUUUGCUGUCCAUUUUUCAUCUGUAAAAUGGGGAAGUAGUUGCUGGAUCUGAACAGUGGUUUGCAAACAGAUUUUUUUUCAUUCCAUAGAGUCCUUUAUUUAAAAAACUAAACACAGCAACCCAAAAUACAAAAGAGAUGUAAGUGGAGCUGCCACUUAGGCACUCAAUGAGCUCAUAUCCUGACCCUGAACCCAGCUCCCUCAGGGGUUCUAAGGAAUGGAGUUUGAAAAAUCACUCAACUGUCUCUGAGAACUGGUGGCUCUAAGCUGAGAUCAGGGUCGGGUGGAAGCAGGAAACCAUGGCAUGGGCCAGGAUGCUGCUCACCCACUGGAGGCAGCACAUGGGGGCUGUGGGACACGCAGGGUUCCCUGCUGCUGGCCUGCUGGCUGCCACCAUUCCAGCUGGACAACAGUAUCCCCAGGAGGCGGCUGAGAAGCAGGGAGAAGAACACCAGGCUUGGAGUCAGGUGGGUGGCUCUGGGCAGGUCGUGUCCCUCUCUGGGGCCCAUUUUCCUCACCUCUAAGAGAGGGAUGGUAACACUGCACUCAUCAGGGGUCCUAAGGACAAAAUUGCAUCACACAUGUGAAAAGGCUUUGCAACGGAAAGACUGCCCUGAAUGACUUUUUUUUUUUUGAGACAGAGUCUUGCUCUGUUGCCCUAGCUGGAGUGUAGUAGUGCAAACUCAGCUCACUCCAACCUCCGCCUCCUGGGCUCAAGCAAUUCUCCUACCUCAGCCUCCCAAGUAGCUGGGACCACAGACAUGUUCC
rnacentral:lncRNA from 10 species